rnacentral:rRNA from 1 species
UGGUGGAGUGAUUUGUCUGGUUAAUUCCGAUAACGAACGAGACUCUGUCCUGCUAACUAGUUUCGUCGGCGCGAGGUCCUCUGGUCCUCUCCUCUCCGGCGGAAACAUAUCUUCUUAGAGGGACUGGCGGCGUCUAGCCGCACGAGAUAGAGCAAUAACA